UACAGGUGGGAUUGCGUUGAAAACUAAUAGGCAUUAAGUGUGAUAAGGUGGCAAACCACUCUGCCACCCAACCCCAGCUGCGGCUCCGCCGCCGCCAGGGUCGGGGGGUGGGUUGGUGGCUAGAGUUUGAAAAAGAGAGUUAGAGGAAUAACCUCUGGAAGGAUGAAAUCUAUAGAUAGUGGUUGGAACAUCAGCAGCGACAGCAUCACUCUAUUUUCUAACUGACACUGAUUCACUAAAGUCUGGGUAGCAAAACGG
rnacentral:rRNA from 1 species